AAAAUUUUAAUAGUCGAACAGACUAAACAUUUAAACUUUUGCAUCUAAAUUAAUUUUAAUCCAACAUCGAGGUCACAAUCUUCAAUUUAAAUAAGAACUUUAAAUUAAAAUUAUG
rnacentral:rRNA from 1 species